GGUUAGGUGUCCGAGAGGCUGAAGGAGCACGCCUGGAAAGCGUGUAUACGUGAAAGCGUAUCAAGGGUUCGAAUCCCUUCCUAACCGCCA
rnacentral:tRNA from 1 species